UACUUGAUAAUUUAUCCUUUCUUGCAAAGCAGGCUUGUUUCUGUCAGCUGAUGCCAUGUUCUGCAAGAUUCCUGAGACUUCAUCAAUAAACACAGCCAGCCUGUCUGCCUAUUUUCUUCUUGCAGUCAAGCUUUGAGUAAAAUAAUGCAAAUGUUGAAGACCCUAAUGAUUGAAACCACUUCAGUUUAGGAGAGCAAUACAAAGUGAACACAGUGUGGAAUUUUGGCAUUUUGAGACAUCGUCCUCACUUUGUUGUAUUCCUCUGGCGGUCACCAUCAGUGCACGGCGCCC
rnacentral:lncRNA from 1 species